rnacentral:tRNA from 1 species
GGGGUUAUAGCUCAGUUGGUAGAGCGCCUGGUUUGCAACCAGGAGGUCAGGGGUUCGACCCCCCUUGACUCCA